UGGGGAAUUUUGGACAAGGGGGGAAACCCUGAUCCAGCCAUCCCGCGUGUGCGAUGAAGGCCUUCGGGUGGUAAAGCACUUUUGGCAGGAAAGAAACGUCAUGGGUUAAUACCCCGUGAAACUGACGGUACCUGCAGAAUAAGCACCGGCUAACUACGUGCCAGCAGCCGCGGUAAUACGUAGGGUGCAAGCGUUAAUCGGAAUUACUGGGCGUAAAGCGUGCGCAGGCGGUUCGGAAAGAAAGAUGUGAAAUCCCAGAGCUCAACUUUGGAACUGCAUUUUUAACUACCGGGCUAGAGUGUGUCAGAGGGAGGUGGAAUUCCGCGUGUAGCAGUGAAAUGCGUAGAUAUGCGGAGGAACACCGAUGGCGAAGGCAGCCUCCUGGGAUAACACUGACGCUCAUGCACGAAAGCGUGGGGAGCAAACAGG
rnacentral:rRNA from 1 species